rnacentral:rRNA from 1 species
UGACCUACGGGGGGCAGCAGUGAGGAAUAUUGGUCAAUGGACGAGAGUCUGAACCAGCCAAGUAGCGUGAAGGAUGACUGCCCUAUGGGUUGUAAACUUCUUUUAUAUGGGAAUAAAACGUUCCACGUGUGGGAUUUUGUAUGUACCAUAUGAAUAAGGAUCGGCUAACUCCGUGCUAGCAGCCGCGGUAAUACGGAGGAUCCGAGCGUUAUCCGGAUUUAUUGGGUUUAAAGGGAGCGUAGGUGGAUUGUUAAGUCUGUUGUAAAAGUUUGCGGCUUAACCGUAAAAUUGCAUUUUAAAC